rnacentral:rRNA from 1 species
CCUACGGGAGGCAGCAGUGAGGAAUAUUGGUCAAUGGGCGCGAGCCUGAACCAGCCAAGUAGCGUGAAGGAUGACUGCCCUAUGGGUUGUAAACUUCUUUUAUAAAGGAAUAAAGUGAGGCACGUGUGCCUUUUUGUAUGUACCUUAUGAAUAAGGAUCGGCUAACUCCGUGCCAGCAGCCGCGGUAAUACGGAGGAUCCGAGCGUUAUCCGGAUUUAUUGGGUUUAAAGGGAGCGUAGGUGGGUUGUUAAGUCAGUUGUGAAAGUUUGCGGCUCAACCGUAAAAUUGCAGUUGAUACUGGCAGGCUUGAGUACAGUUGAGGUAGGCGGAAUUCGUGGUGUAGCGGUGAAAUGCUUAGAUAUCACGAAGAACUCCGAUUGCGAAGGCAGCUUACUAAACUGCCACUGACAUUGAGGCUCGAAAGUGUGGGUAUCAAACAGGAUUAGAUACCCGGGUAGUC